CGUGAGAUGUUGGGUUAAGUCCCGCAACGAGCGCAACCCUUUUCCCUAGUUGCUACGAAGGGCACUCUAGGGAUACUGCCGGUGACAAACCGGAGGAAGGUGGGGAUGACGUCAAGUCCUCAUGGCCCUUAUGUGUAGGGCUUCACACGUCAUACAAUGGUCGGUACAGAGGGUCGCCAACCCGCGAGGGGGAGCCAAUCCCAGAAAACCGAUCGUAGUCCGGAUCGCACUCUGCAACUCGAGUGCG
rnacentral:rRNA from 1 species